CAGCCGCGGUAAUUCCAGCUCCAAUAGCGUAUAUUAAAGUUGUUGCAGUUAAAAAGCUCGUAGUUGGAUCUCGGGUCCGGGCUCGCGGUCCACCUCGCGGUGGUUACUGCCCGUCCCGACCUACCUACCGGUUUUCCCUUGGUGCUCUUAACUGAGUGUCUCGGGUGGCCGGACCGUUUACUUUGAAAAAAUUAGAGUGUUCAAAGCAGGCGCUUCGCCUGAAUAAUGUUGCAUGGAAUAAUGGAAUAGGACCUCGGUUCUAUUUUGUUGGUUUUCGGAACUCGAGGUAAUGAUUAAGAGGGACAGACGGGGGCAUUCGUAUGAUGGUGUUAGAGGUGAAAUUCUUGGAUCGCCGUCAGACGAACUACUGCGAAAGCAUUUGCCAAGAAUGUUUUCAUUAAUCAAGAACGAAAGUCAGAGGUUCGAAGACGAUCAGAUACCGUCCUAGUUCUGACCAUAAACGAUGCCGACUAGCGAUCCGCCGGAGUUGUUUCAAUGACCCGGCGGGCAGCUUCCGGGAAACCAAAGUCUUUGGGUUCCGGGGGAAGUAUGGUUGCAAAGCUGAAACUUAAAGGAAUUGACGGAAGGGCACCACCAGGAGUGGAGCCUGCGGCUUAAUUUGACUCAACACGGGAAAGCUUACCCGGCCCGGACACCGUAAGGAUUGACAGAUUGAGAGCUCUUUCUUGAUUCGGUGGGUGGUGGUGCAUGGCCGUUCUUAGUUGGUGGAGCGAUUUGUCUGGUUAAUUCCGAUAACGAACGAGACUCUAGCCUAUUAAAUAGUUCGCCGAUUUCGAUCUGUCGGCGUUAACUUCUUAGAGGGACAAGUGGCUUUUAGCCACGCGAGAUUGAGCAAUAACAGGUCUGUGAUGCCCAAGG
rnacentral:rRNA from 1 species